rnacentral:rRNA from 1 species
UACGUAGGGAGCGAGCGUUGUCCGGAAUUACUGGGUGUAAAGGGAGCGUAGGCGGGACGGCAAGUCAGAUGUGAAAACUGAGGGCUCAACCUUCAGACUGCAUUUGAAACUGGCGUUCUUGAGUGGGCGAGAAGUAUGCGGAAUGCGUGGUGUAGCGGUGAAAUGCAUAGAUAUCACGCAGAACUCCGAUUGCGAAGGCAGCAUACCGGCGCCCUACUGACGCUGAGGCACGAAAGCGUGGGUAUCGAACAGG